AACGAACGCUGGCGGCAGGCCUAACACAUGCAAGUCGAACGAAGCCUUCGGGCUUAGUGGCGGACGGGUGAGUAACACGUGGGAACGUACCUUUUGGUUCGGAAUAACGCAGAGAAAUUUGCGCUAAUACCGAAUGAGCCCUUAGGGGGAAAGAUUUAUCGCCGAAAGAUCGGCCCGCGUUGGGUUAGGUAGUUGGUGUGGUAAAGGCGCACCAAGCCUACGAUCCAUAGCUGGUCUGAGAGGAUGAUCAGCCACACUGGGACUGAGACACGGCCCAGACUCCUACGGGAGGCAGCAGUGGGGAAUCUUGCGCAAUGGGCGAAAGCCUGACGCAGCCAUGCCGCGUGAAUGAUGAAGGUCUUAGGAUUGUAAAAUUCUUUUACCAGGGACGAUAAUGACGGUACCUGGAGAAAAAGCCCCGGCUAACUUCGUGCCAGCCGCCGCGGUAAAAC
rnacentral:rRNA from 1 species